UACGUAGGGUGCGAGCGUUGUCCGGAAUUAUUGGGCGUAAAGGGCUCGUAGGCGGUUUGUCGCGUCGGGAGUGAAAACACCGGGCUUAACUCGGUGCUUGCUUUCGAUACGGGCAGACUAGAGGUAUGCAGGGGAGAACGGAAUUCCUGGUGUAGCGGUGAAAUGCGCAGAUAUCAGGAGGAACACCGGUGGCGAAGGCGGUUCUCUGGGCAUGUCCUGACGCUGAGGAGCGAAAGCGUGGGGAGCGAACAGG
rnacentral:rRNA from 1 species